GAUGAACGCUGGCGGCGUGCCUAAUACAUGCAAGUCGAGCGAAUGGAUUAAGAGCUUGCUCUUAUGAAGUUAGCGGCGGACGGGUGAGUAACACGUGGGUAACCUGCCCAUAAGACUGGGAUAACUCCGGGAAACCGGGGCUAAUACCGGAUAACAUUUUGAACCGCAUGGUUCGAAAUUGAAAGGCGGCUUCGGCUGUCGCUUAUGGAUGGACCCGCGUCGCAUUAGCUAGUUGGUGAGGUAACGGCUCACCAAGGCAACGAUGCGUAGCCGACCUGAGAGGGUGAUCGGCCACACUGGGACUGAGACACGGCCCAGACUCCUACGGGAGGCAGCAGUAGGGAAUCUUCCGCAAUGGACGAAAGUCUGACGGAGCAACGCCGCGUGAGUGAUGAAGGCUUUAGGGUCGUAAAACUCUGUUGUUAGGGAAGAACAAGUGCUAGUUGAAUAAGCUGGCACCUUGACGGUACCUAACCAGAAAGCCACGGCCAACUACGUGCCAGCAGCCGCCGUAA
rnacentral:rRNA from 1 species